AUGAAUUUUACCCUUGUAACACCCCUGUCAUAGAGAAGCAUUUUGUCCCAUUUUUAAAGGAACAAGGGUGAACGGAGUGACCCACCUGCCCUGUCAUGCCUCCACUCUCAGCUGACUCAGACGCCUGAAAUCUGAGCAAUGUCAGAACAGUUGUACCGGCCAUCCCACCAGUGUUGUGACUUGCACAUGGGCCAACUCUUAGGGAAGAAUGGGUAGAUAACAAAAUGCCAGCUCCUGGUAAACUUGGAAGAGCCCAGUCACAGACGCAUGUGAGUGGGAGCCGUCAGCACUUUGCCGUCGGCGAGACCCAGUGAACUCAUCGUGCUGCUUUCCUGGGAGGCACCGAGGUGAAAAUCGGUUCAGCCUACAGACAACAAAACAGUUAUUCAAAGUGCAGUUAUACACCGAAACGUGACAGCAGAAGUGGUGGUGCACAUUGGAGGUAGAGCUGUGGGAACAGUG
rnacentral:lncRNA from 1 species